UACGAAGGGGGCUAGCGUUGCUCGGAAUCACUGGGCGUAAAGCGCACGUAGGCGGACUGUUAAGUCAGGGGUGAAAUCCUGGAGCUCAACUCCAGAACUGCCUUUGAUACUGGCAAUCUCGAGUUCGGGAGAGGUGAGUGGAACUGCGAGUGUAGAGGUGAAAUUCGUAGAUAUUCGCAAGAACACCAGUGGCGAAGGCGGCUCACUGGCCCGAUACUGACGCUGAGGUGCGAAAGCGUGGGGAGCAACA
rnacentral:rRNA from 1 species